GUCUUCCUUCUCCUCCUUCUCCUUCUCCUCCUCAAUGCUGAUGCCUCCGGCCAACCCAACCAUCAGCGGCCAGACUGUCGCUGAGCCUCUCACCUUUGAGUCACCUAUCCAGCUUUCCAGUCAGCAACCUUUAACCUGGAUGCUACUCACUGAAGGCCCGAGGGGGAUCCCACCCCUCGAGGUCACCAGGCAGAAGGAUGGUCACCACGUCCCCAGGUCCCGCGCAGCCUAGGUCCUGUCCCCAGGAGGCAGAAAUCCCGCCCGCCAGCUUCGGCGCCUGACGCGUUUGCAGCCUGAAGCCCCUCCCCCUGCAUCUCUCCCCAGCCCGCGCCCAGGAAGAAAGUAGAAGCCCCUGGGCCCAGAAGUGGGAGGCCAGGUUCUGAGUCUGAACCCUGCGGGUCUGCAGACUCCAGCAAAAGAAGGGAUCCGGGGCAAUAAACAGUGGAGUUG
rnacentral:lncRNA from 1 species